ACGGAGGGGGCUAGCGUUGUUCGGAAUUACUGGGCGUAAAGCGCACGUAGGCGGUUCUUCAAGUCAGAGGUGAAAGCCCGGUGCUCAACAUCGGAAUUGCCUUUGAAACUAGGGAACUUGAAUCCAGGAGAGGUGAGUGGAAUUCCGAGUGUAGAGGUGAAAUUCGUAGAUAUUCGGAAGAACACCAGUGGCGAAGGCGGCUCACUGGACUGGUAUUGACGCUGAGGUGCGAAAGCGUGGGGAGCAAACAGGA
rnacentral:rRNA from 1 species